rnacentral:rRNA from 1 species
AACGAACGCUGGCGGCAUGCCUAACACAUGCAAGUCGAACGAGACCUUCGGGUCUAGUUGCGCACGUGUGCGUAACGCCUGGUAACCUGCCCUUAGGUUCCGUAUAACUCCCCGUAAGGUGUCCUCAUACCGGUUAAUGUCUUCGGACCAAAGAUUUAUCGCCUUUGGAUGGGCCCGCGUUGGAUUAGCUAGUUGGUAGGGUAAAAGCCUACCAAGGCGACGAUCCAUAGCUGGUCGGAGAGGAUGAUCAGCCACACUGGGACUGAGACACGGCCCAGACUCCGACGGGAGGCAGCAGUGGGGAAUAUUGGACAAUGGGCGAAAGUCUGAUACAGCAAUGCGGGGUGAGUGAUGAAGGGGUUAGGGUUGUAAAGCUCUUUGACACGGGAUGAGAAUGACAGUACCGGGAGAAUAAGCUCCGGCUAACUACGUG